UCUGGGUAAACGCUAUAUAUUUUAUAUAUAGAGGAAAGUCCACACUCGCACUAGCUGCGAUGCUAGUAGUGUUUGUGCCUAGGGAAAAAAUAACUUAGGGCAAGUUUACUUGACGGCGUCUGAUUACCUAAGGCUUUGCUAUGGUAGGAAGAUAUAAAGUGCAACAGUGACGAAUUAUUGGGAAACUGAUAAGUGAAACGGGUAAACCCCGCAAGCGAGAAACUCAAAUUUUGGUAGAGGAGCUAUUCUUAGGGAAUUGAACCAAGGAAUGGAUACGAGAGUAUAGAUAAAUGUUUACCGCCUUCUUUCGAAGGUACAGAAAGUGGCUUAUAA
rnacentral:RNase_P_RNA from 1 species